rnacentral:rRNA from 1 species
UGAGGAACAUGACCUUCGGCGGGGGAUAGCCGGCCCAACGGCCGGGUAAUACCGCGUACGACCACAUGGGGACAUCCCUGAGUGGCGAAAGCAGCAAUGCGCCGAUGGAGUGCCUCGCGGCCUAUCAGCUAGUUGGUGAGGUAAUGGCUCACCAAGGCAACGACGGGUAGCUGGUCUGAGAGGAUGGCCAGCCACAUUGGGACUGAGACACGGCCCAGAUCCUA